UACGUAGGGUGCGAGCGUUGUCCGGAAUUAUUGGGCGUAAAGGGCUCGUAGGCGGUCUGUUGCGUCAGGAGUGAAAACUCGGGGCUUAACCCCGAGCCUGCUUCUGAUACGGGCAGACUAGAGGUAUGCAGGGGAGAACGGAAUUCCUGGUGUAGCGGUGAAAUGCGUAGAUAUCUGGAGGAACACCGGUGGCGAAGGCGGCGUCCUGGACCAACACUGACACUGAUGAGCGAAAGCCAGGGGAGCAAACGGG
rnacentral:rRNA from 1 species